GGGGAAUUUUCCGCAAUGGGCGAAAGCCUGACGGAGCAACGCCGCGUGAGGGAUGAAGGCCUCUGGGCUGUAAACCUCUUUUCUCAAGGAAGAAGAUCUGACGGUACUUGAGGAAUAAGCCACGGCUAAUUCCGUGCCAGCAGCCGCGGUAAUACGGGAGUGGCAAGCGUUAUCCGGAAUUAUUGGGCGUAAAGCGUCCGCAGGCGGUCCAGAAAGUCUGCUGUUAAAAAGUGGAGCUCAACUCCAUCAUGGCANUGGAAACUNCUGGACUAGAGUGUGGUAGGGGCAGAGGGAAUUCCCGGUGUAGCGGUGAAAUGCGUAGAUAUCGGGAAGAACACCAGUGGCGAAGGCGCUCUGCUGGGCCAUAACUGACGCUCAUGGACGAAAGCCAGGGGAGCGAAAGGGAUUAGAUACCCCUGUAGUC
rnacentral:rRNA from 1 species